rnacentral:rRNA from 1 species
AGAGUUUGAUCAUGGCUCAGGACGAACGCUGGCGGCGUGCUUAACACAUGCAAGUCGAGCGGUAAGGCCCUUUCGGGGGUACACGAGCGGCGAACGGGUGAGUAACACGUGGGUAACCUGCCCUUGGCUCUGGGAUAAGCCCGGGAAACUGGGUCUAAUACCGGAUAUGACUUCGCAUCGCAUGGUGUGGAGUGGAAAGCCUUGUGCGGCUGAGGAUGGACCCGCGGCCUAUCAGCUUGUUGGUGGGGUAGUGGCCUACCAAGGCGACGACGGGUAGCCGGCCUGAGAGGAUGAUCAGCCACACUGGGACUGAGACACGGCCCAGACUCCUACGGGAGGCAGCAGUGGGGAAUAUUGGACAAUGGGCGAAAGCCUGAUCCAGCAACGCCGCGUGUAGGACGAAGCCCUUCGGGGUGUAAACUACUGUCAGGGGAAAGAAAGUUCUGAUCUACCCCAGAGGAAGGGACGGCUAACUCUGUGCCAGCAGCCGCGGUAAGACAGAGGUCCCGAGCGUUAGGCGGAAUCACUGGGCUUAAAGCGUGUGUAGGCGGAUGCCUAAGUACCUUGUGAAAUCCCACGGCUCACCCGUGGAACGGCUCGGUAUACUGGGUGUCUUGAGCCACUUAGGGGCGAGCGGAACAAAUGGUGGAGCGGUGAAAUGCGUAGAUAUCAUUUGGAACGCCAAUGGUGAAAACAGCUCGCUGGGAGUGUGCUGACGCUGAGACACGAAAGCCAGGGGAGCAAACGGGAUUAGAUACCCCGGUAGUCCUGGCUGUAAACGAUGUCGACUAGAUCGCGGCGGCUCUGACGCCGUCGCGGUCGAAGCAAAAGUGCUAAGUCGACCGCCUGGGAAGUACGGUCGCAAGGCUAAAACUCAAAUGAAUUGACGGGG